rnacentral:rRNA from 1 species
CUACGGGGCGCUGCAGUGGGGAAUUUUGGACAAUGGGGGCAACCCUGAUCCAGCCAUUCCGCGUGAGUGAAGAAGGCCUUCGGGUUGUAAAGCUCUUUCAGCUGGAACGAAACGGUGCGCUCUAACAUAGCGUGCUAAUGACGGUACCAGCAGAAGAAGCACCGGCUAACUACGUGCCAGCAGCCGCGGUAAUACGUAGGGUGCGAGCGUUAAUCGGAAUUACUGGGCGUAAAGCGUGCGCAGGCGGAUUGUUAAGCAAGAUGUGAAAUCCCCGGGCUUAACCUGGGAAUGGCAUUUUGAACUGGCAGUCUAGAGUGCGUCAGAGGGGGGUGGAAUUCCACGUGUAGCAGUGAAAUGCGUAGAGAUGUGGAGGAACACCGAUGGCGAAGGCAGCCCCCUGGGAUGACACUGACGCUCAUGUACGAAAGCGUGGGUAGCAAACAGGAUUAGAUACCCGAGUAGUC